ensembl:misc_RNA Metazoa_SRP Metazoan signal recognition particle RNA
GCCAGCACAAUGGUGAGCACUGAUUGUCCCAGCAACUGGGGAAGCUGAGGUGGGAUGAACUCUUGAGUCCUGGAGCUCUGGGCUAUAGUGCAAUAUGCAGAUGAGGUGUCCACAUUAAAUUUGGCAUCAAUAUGGUGAACUCUCUGAGAAGAGCCAGGAACCACCACUUUGCUUAUGGAGAAGCAAACCAUCCAGGCUGGAAACCCCACAGGUCAAAAUUCCCAUGCUGAGCGGUGGUGAGAUUGUGCCUGUGAGGAGCCAUUGUACCCCAGCAUGGUCAACACAAUGAUACCCCUUCUUU